AGUCAGGAGGUGGGAGGAAGGGCUGGGAGAAGGCUCUAGUGUCGACUCCAGUGGCGGUGUAGCAGUGGUGGGACAGAAGCACAGCCCCACUAGCCUGGCCGGGCUCCCAGGCCCGCCCCUCCCACUUCUCUGCCAGAUGGGAGACCUGGAGUUGAGGAGCAACACAGCUUGCCCAAGAGCACCAGCACAGCUAGCGGAGCAGCCAGGAGGACCAUGCCCAGCUAGCCGGGACACAAGCUCCCAGCCAAUUCCUAUCCUCCCUAUUUAUACUCCCAACUCUCCCAGCAGGAGGCAAAGGCUGGACUCUGAGCCAGGGAUGGAGGAACCUGAGAAAGGGGACAUUUGGUGAUGUCUGGAGACAGGUUUGACCAUCACAACUUGAAGGGGGACCUACUGGCAUCUAGAAGAGAGAAGUGGCCAGGGCGCUGCUGAGCAUCCGGCAACAAGAAAGACUCGACAAUGCAACGAGUCAACAGCACCAAGGUGGGGAGACCCUGCUGUACCCGAGGGGAAGUCUGCUGCUUCAGAAUGCCCUUGCUCCCCGGCCUCCCUUAAACUCUGAUUAUUCUCUGACAGAGACGGCCAUGAGCGAACCGCAGGUCUGGCCUCGGCUCUACCUGCCUUGAUAGUAUCUAGCCCUCACCAGGCCCAGCCACACACAAAGAAAUGUGUCUUAGUCUCUCAACAAGCACGAGUGCCCGGCACUGUGCAUGGGGAGCGUAGUCAGCUCUUGGGACAACCCACAGGGCAGAGUCCUCCCAGGAAAAUGUCCACACCAUGGGGGCCUGGGCCUGUGAUUUUCCCACUGUGAGCCUCUAUUUGCUCAUCUGUCAAAUGGGACCUACCCCCUCAUCUAACCUGGCAACAAUUCUCAGAGAUAUGUCGCUGCAGUUCAUCUCCACAAGGAUUCAAGAUUUAAGUCUUGAGGUACUAGGUCCUAGGUGUCAUGGAGCAGAGAUUUUAACUCAGUUCUGCCUGAACCCAGGACCCAGGUCACCCAUAGUCCCCCAAGUGCUAUGAGAGUAGAGUGCAAGUUCUCAAGCUUGAUUGCUGGGCUCCACCCCCAGAACCUUCUGAUUCCACAGUUUACUUUUGCAUACAUGUGAGCAGACAUUGCCUGCUGCUGCUGGCCCAGAGACCACAUCCAGGAACCCUAGAGUAGAGCAUGAUGUCAUAUUGCCUCUAUGGGGUUCAAAUCCUGGCUCCGGCUCUUGCUGGCUCUACAACUUGGGAAUAUCACUUAACCUCUUCCUCUGAAAAGCAGAGAUAACAGCAACAUCACAUAGGGUUUGCUGAAAGGAUUAAAGGAGAUAAUGACAAAGGGAAAGCCUGUCUCACAAGUCGCACCUGACAAAUACUCAUAAAUACUCACCAGCAUGAGUCCCCAACACAGCAACUCCCCACUGCCCUAGACACACAGAAGCUCCGAGAGGAUUAACCUUCCUCUUCGCCUGUCUCCUGCCACUUGCCUGCACGGGGCAGGACACGGAGAUGACAUCUCAGGACUAGCACAGGAGGAGAAGGAGGAUGCAGGCCACGUCUGCCAGGGCCCAAGGGGCCUCUGCCCCACAGCACAGGCCUCCGGAAGCAGAGGUGAGAGCAGAGCACAGGGAGCACUGAUGACCUCCGUGCCGACCUGGUCCCUCACCUUCUGCCAGGCUCUGCCAACUGCCAGUAAUUCUUUUGGGGGGUAAGAGCUGCCAUCCUUUGACUACCAAUCAACUCAAAUCAGUCUCUGCAUUGUGUAACCCUUAGCCAACUCCUAGGCCUCUCUGGGUCUUAUUUUCUUCACCUGAGACUCCAACAAGAACUCAGCAAGGGCCUCCCCGGUGGUGCAGUGGUUGAGCGCUGGCCUCUGCGGUGCCGGUUCGAUCCCCAGCUGCUCCCCGGCCACCAGAGGAGGGUCCCACAUGGCGUGCAGACCUCUCCUGCCGCCCGCUGCUCCCCUCAGCAGUGUCCUUCGGUCCUUCUGCCUGCUCUGCUCCCCGCUCUGGC